rnacentral:rRNA from 1 species
AGUGAACGCUGGCGGUAGGCCUAACACAUGCAAGUCGAACGGCAGCACAGUAAGAGCUUGCUCUUACGGGUGGCGAGUGGCGGACGGGUGAGGAAUACAUCGGAAUCUACUUUUUCGUGGGGGAUAACGUAGGGAAACUUACGCUAAUACCGCAUACGACCUACGGGCGAAAGCAGGGGAUCUUCGGACCUUGCGCGAUUGAAUGAGCCGAUGUCGGAUUGGCUAGUUGGCGGGGUAAAGGCCCACCAAGGCGACGAUCCGUAGCUGGUCUGAGAGGAUGAUCAGCCACACUGGAACUGAGACACGGUCCAGACUCCUACGGGAGGCAGCAGUGGGGAAUAUUGGACAAUGGGCGCAAGCCUGAUCCAGCCAUACCGCGUGGGUGAAGAAGGCCUUCGGGUUGUAAAGCCCUUUUGUUGGGAAAGAAAAGCAGCAGGUUAAUACCCCGCUGUUCUGACGGUACCCAAAGAAUAAGCACCGGCUAACUUCGUG